UGGGGAAUAUUGCGCAAUGGGGGAAACCCUGACGCAGCGACGCCGCGUGAGCGAAGAAGGCCUUAGGGUUGUAAAGCUCUGUUUUAAGGGACGAAGAUUACGGGGAGUAAUAUGCCCUGUAAAUGACGGUACCUUAAGAGGAAGCCCCGGCUAACUACGUGCCAGCAGCCGCGGUAAGACGUAGGGGGCGAGCGUUGUCCGGAAUUACUGGGCGUAAAGAGCACGUAGGCGGGAAUUUAAGUCAGAUGUGAAAGACCGGGGCUCAACUCCGGGGUUGCAUUUGAAACUGAAUUUCUUGAGGGCAGGAGAGGAAAGCAGAAUUCCUGGUGUAGCGGUGAAAUGCGUAGAAAUCAGGAGGAAUACCAGUGGCGAAGGCGGCUUUCUGGACUGACCCUGACGCUGAGGUGCGAAAGCGUGGGUAGCAAACAGG
rnacentral:rRNA from 2 species